rnacentral:lncRNA from 1 species
UGGUGUUGUUAUUCUGCUCCCAGCGCCACAGCAUCACGCUCAUCUUACUUCUGCCGGAGCAGAAAAGGGGGAGCGGAAGAAGGGCAGGAAAGGAGGAGGCGGCGGCGAGGCACCUGCCCGCAAGCCGCCUGGUCCCGCCUCGCUCCGGAUCCCGCGCUCCGCCCCGCAGGCAUCCCCGGCGGUAACAGCUCUGCACCGUGCUGCUCCCGCUGCUCCCGAGGCUCCGCGGGGCGCAGGGGACCCAGCCGGGGGCACAGGGGCCGGGCGCUCAGGUCCCGCGCUCUCGCCCACCCUGCUGCCUCCGCCAGCCGCUGGCUGGCGCGGGUGGAGGAAGCGGGAGAGAGGGUCGGAGCUAGGAGACUGCCCUGUGUCCUCCUCCCGGACUCUGGCCGACUAGCCCAGCGCAGGACCUGCGCCCAACACCCUGUGAUCUGACAGCGGUCCUCCAGGGAACCCCAACAACUUCCCUAGCCUGAAAAGGCUCUGCAGCCCUCCCGCUCCACACAUAGUUAGAAUUGUUCAAAAUGAAGGAGGUGAUGAAGUGGAUCCUAUUCUUUUAAAAAGUGGUCUUUAAAACAUGCCAGUUCCGGCUGGGGAUGUAGUUCAGCAGACCUGCCCAGCAAGCCCAAGGCCCUGGGUUCGAUUCCAGGUGACAAAUUCCUCUACUGUGUCCCCAGCGCGUAGACCAGUGUGCAGUCCACAGUGGGAGCUCAGUGCAUGUCACCCAUAUGAGCUGUUGACGACUAUGCUACGACAGUCCGUGCAGCCUUCUCUGCAGCGAGGGCUGAGCCAGGCCCAGCACACAGCUGCCCUCCUGCCCGAGGCCCGAGCUCAGCCUGCCUGACCACAAGGGACACCUCUCUGACAGUGGCCCUCUACACACGUGCCCAGAGAACGAACAUGGGCAGCAAUAUUUGCAGCUUCAAGGGAAGGGGCACAUCCUGGGGGAAUGUACUAGAAACAGGACAGCAUGUUUCAUCUGAGAAAGUGUAUUUUCAUGUUAAGAUAUAGAUUUGGAAGCUAGUCCUAAAAUAGCUUUUUUUCCCCAAAAUAAAGCUUAAUAAAAUCUUAUUGGCCAAACAAAGCACAUG